rnacentral:rRNA from 1 species
GACAGAGGUGCCGAGCGUUAGGCGGAAUCACUGGGCUUAAAGCGUGUGUAGGCGGAUGCCUAAGUACCUUGUGAAAUCCCACGGCUCAACCGUGGAACUGCUUGGUAUACUGGGUGUCUUGAGCUGUCUAGGGGCGACCGGAACAAACGGUGGAGCGGUGAAAUGCGUAGAUAUCAGGAGGAACACCGAUGGCGAAGGCAGGUCUCUGGGCUGACACUGACGCUCAUGCACGAA